rnacentral:rRNA from 1 species
UACGUAGGGUGCGAGCGUUAAUCGGAAUUACUGGGCGUAAAGCGUGCGCAGGCGGUUUUGUAAGCCAGAUGUGAAAGCCCCGGGCUUAACCUGGGAAUGGCAUUGGUGACUGCACGGCUAGAGUGUGUCAGAGGGGGGGUAGAAAUUCCACGGUGUAGCAGUGAAAUGCGUAGAGAUGUGGAGGAAUACCGAUGGCGAAGGCAGCCCCCUGGGAUAACACUGACGCUCAUGCACGAAAGCGUGGGGAGCAAACAGG